UGCUUGGUGCCAGAAGUUUUACUGCUUUUUUCUUGUGGAAAAAAAGGCUAAUAGCAAGAUAGAAGAAAAUGGAUUUGUUCUGUCCUCGUACCGGGAUUCAUCUGUUUGGGAAGCAAGAGUAGGAAAAUUUCCACCAAGAUCUAGCACAAGUAGGCUAGGCAUGAGGGAGGAGCUGCAGGAAGAAACUGUGGCUGCUGAAUCAAGGCUUGCAAUUGAAUUCAGUAGCAUCCUUAGUUUCACCGUCACAGCCCCCCUCCCCCAUUUGUCGUCUUUGGGAUAUUUCUGA
rnacentral:lncRNA from 1 species